GUUAAAACUUUCAACAAUGGAUCUCUUGGUUCCGGCAUCGAUGAAGAACGCAGCGAAAUGCGAUAACUAGUGUGAAUUGCAGAAUUCCGUGAAUCAUCGAGUCUUUGAACGCACAUUGCGCCCCCUGGUAUUCCGGGGGGCAUGCCUGUCCGAGCGUC
rnacentral:rRNA from 1 species